UGAGGAAUAUUGCGCAAUGGGCGAAAGCCUGACGCAGCGACGCCGCGUGGAGGACGAAGGUCUUCGGAUCGUAAACUCCUGUCGAGCGGGACGAAGCCGGGGCGGUGAAUAGCCGCUCCGGUUGACGGUACCGCUAAAGGAAGCCCCGGCUAACUCCGUGCCAGCAGCCGCGGUAAUACGGAGGGGGCCAGCGUUGUUCGGAAUCAUUGGGCGUAAAGGGCGCGUAGGCGGCUUGGUAAGUCCGUUGUGAAAUCCCUCGGCUCAACCGAGGAACUGCGACGGAUACUGCUUGGCUUGAGUCCCGGAGAGGGUAGCGGAAUUCCCAGUGUAGCGGUGAAAUGCGUAGAUAUUGGGAGGAACAUCGGUGGCGAAGGCGGCUACCUGGACGGGUACUGACGCUGAUGCGCGAAAGCUAGGGGAGCAAACAGGAUUAGAUACCCUGGUAGUCCUAGCUGUAAACGAUGGGCACUUGGUGUUGCGGGUAUCGACCCCUGCAGUGCCGAAGCUAACGCAUUAAGUGCCCCGCCUGGGGAGUACGGUCGCAAGGCUGA
rnacentral:rRNA from 1 species